rnacentral:rRNA from 1 species
CAGCGAAAUGCGAUACGUAAUGUGAAUUGCAGGUUUUCGUGAAUCAUCGAAUCUUUGAACGCAUAUUGCGCCCUUCGGUAUUCCGAAGGGCAUGCCUGUUUGAGCGUCAUUUCUCUCUCAAACCCUCGGGUUUGGUAUUGAGUGAUACUCUCUUUCUGGGUUAACUUGAAAUACUGUGGCAAGAGCUGCUUUGCAGGAUCUCCUCUGAACUAACGUUUCUAGGUUCUACCAAUUCGUUAUGGACAGUGUGUGCUGAACGCAUGGCUUUUGGGCUCGGCCUAACAAUUUCUUCAUAAGUUUGACCUCAAAUCAGGUAGGA